rnacentral:miRNA from 1 species
CCUUUAAAUUGUGUCCUCAAG